rnacentral:rRNA from 1 species
CGCGUAGGUGGUAGUGCAAGUCUGGGGUGGAAUCCUAUGGCUUAACCAUAGAAUUGCCUUGGAAACUGUAUUACUUGAGUCAGUGAGGGGAGGGUAGAAUUCCUGGUGUAGCGGUGAAAUGCGUAGAUAUCAGGAGGAAGGCCUGUGGCGAAGGCGGCCCUCUGGCGCUGAACUGACACUGAGGCGCGAAAGCGUGGGGAGCAAACAGGAUUAGAUACCCUGGUAGUCCACGCCCUAAACGGUGGGCACUAGGUGUAGGGCUCGUAAGGGUUCUGUGCCGAAGCGAAAGCAUUAAGUGCCCCGCCUGGGGAGUACGGCCGCAAGGUUGAA